UGAAUUCCCUUAUACGUGUGCCAGAAAUGCUCUUUUGAUCGAAAACUUAGGCAACAUUUUCUUCAAAAUGGAUGUGGCAAUACCAAAAGGCUGUCAUUUUUUUUUUUUUUGGAAAUACUCGUGAUUUUUUUACAAGGUAGUAUAUGUUCUAUACUCUCUCAAUAUUUUCCAGCCCAAAGAAUCAAUCCCCCCACCACCGGGGUUCGAUCCUGUUACCGCCCUCUGGGAAUGGUUCAAGCCGUUUACAAUGCCAUGAGAAGAGACGACCGGAUGAAAUACUUUUUGUAAAUCAGGUGGUUGGUUUACUCACAUUGUAUAGGGCACACAAUUAGAUGGGGCAUUCCCCUAACAUGAUCUGCUAUUUAUUGUUCAGAUUUAAUGCCUUUUUAGUUUACUUUUAAACCAGCCUUAACCUUUGUUUGGAAAUAUGUCAUUUUGAAUUCCCAUGAGGGGUGGGUUCAGUAUCUCUAUGACUCUAUCUGUUCAAAUAUCAAUGUGCCAACAGCAAUUGGUGUAUAAUUUUUUUGGUUUUGUUUUUCAAGUGUAAUGAAUAUUUACUUUUAAGUAUGAUGAAGAUUAUAAUAAUUAUUAUAAUGAAUAUUUAUGAUUUUGGUA